UAAUCUAUUAUGCAUCCAAAUCACUAAUAGGUAUCUGCUGUGUGGGAGCUCAUUGGCAUUGAUCUCACUGGUCCACUCCAAAAAACAUCUACUGGGUAUCAGUAUAUAUUGACUGUCACUGACUAUUUUUCCAAGUGGGUGGAGGCCUUUCCUCAAAAGACAAAGUCUGCAUUGGAAGUAGCCAAAAACCUUUGUACAGUCAUUUAUAGACAUGGCUGCCCUAAGCGCAUACUGUCAGACCAAGGACGGGAGUUCGUCAAUCAAAUCAACAGCUCACUUUGUGUGCUGCUCUCCAUUGAGAGGAGUGUUACGGCUGCUUACCAUCCCCAAACAAAUGGGCUUGAUGAGAAAACCAAUGAUAACAUCAAACGGGCACUUAAAAAGCUUGUUAAUGAUCAGCAGGAUGACUGGGACCAGUACCUAGAUGCAAGUCUUUUUUCGCUGAGAUCCAAAAUGCAAACCACAACAAAUUUCUCACCAUUUCUUUUAAUGUAUGGGCGAGAAGCUAGAUUUCCAUCAGAAGUGCCUGUUGAACUGCCGGUAGGUUUUUUCUUGAAAAUGGCUUUCUGUUAGGGCCAAGCAUCAA